rnacentral:rRNA from 1 species
AGAACGAACGCUGGCGGCAGGCUUAACACAUGCAAGUCGAACGCAUCCUUCGGGGUGAGUGGCAGACGGGUGAGUAACACGUGGGAACGUACCCUUUGGUCUGGAAUAACCCUGGGAAACUAGGGCUAAUACCGGAUACGUCCGAGAGGAGAAAGGUUUACUGCCGGAGGAGCGGCCCGCGUCCGAUUAGCUUGUUGGUGAGGUAAUGGCUCACCAAGGCUUCGAUCGGUAGCUGGUCUGAGAGGAUGACCAGCCACAUUGGGACUGAGACACGGCCCAAACUCCUACGGGAGGCAGCAGUGGGGAAUAUUGGACAAUGGGCGCAAGCCUGAUCCAGCCAUGCCGCGUGAGUGAUGAAGGCCUUAGGGUUGUAAAGCUCUUUUACCUGGGAAGAUCAUGACGGUACCAGGAGAAUAAGCCCCGGCUAACUUCGUGCCAGCAGCCGC